rnacentral:rRNA from 1 species
GACAGAGGGUGCAAACGUUGUUCGGAAUUACUGGGCGUAAAGCGCGUGUAGGCGGCUUUGCAAGUCGGAUGUGAAAUCCCGCGGCUCAACCGUGGAAGUGCACCCGAAACUGCAUCGCUAGAGUAUCGGAGAGGAAAGUGGAAUGCCUGGUGUAGAGGUGAAAUUCGUAGAUAUCAAGCGGAACACCGGUGGCGAAGGCGGCUUUCUGGACGAUUACUGACGCUGAGACGCGAAAGCGUGGGUAGCAAACAGG